rnacentral:rRNA from 1 species
AAUCAACGCUGGCGGCGUGCCUAACACAUGCAAGUCGAACGAGAAAGUGGAGCAAUCCAUGAGUAAAGUGGCGACCGGGUGAGUAACACGUGACCAAUCUACCCUCGAGUGGGGGAUAACUCCGGGAAACCAGAGCUAAUACCGCAUAACAUCUUUGGAACUCAGGUUCUGAUGAUCAAAGGAGCAAUCCGCUUGAGGAGGAGGUCGCGGCUGAUUAGCUAGUUGGCGGGGUAACGGCCCACCAAGGCGAAGAUCGGUAGCCGGCCUGAGAGGGCGCACGGCCACACUGGAACUGAAACACGGUCCAGACUCCUACGGGAGGCAGCAGUGGGGAAUUUUGCGCAAUGGGGGAAACCCUGAUGCAGCAACGCCGCGUGGAGGAUGAAGGCCUUUGGAUUGUAAACUCCUUUUCUCAGGGAAGAGAAUGGACGGUACCUGAGGAAUAAGUCACGGCUAACUACGUGCCAGCAGCCGCCGUAACAC